AGUACAACUGCUGGGUUAUAUGGUAGCUCUAUAAUUUUCUGAGGAAUUGCCAAAUUGUAUAUCAAAAUAGUUGACCAUUUUACAUUCCCACCAGCAAU
rnacentral:pre_miRNA from 1 species